rnacentral:rRNA from 1 species
UACGUAGGGUGCAAGCGUUGUCCGGAAUUAUUGGGCGUAAAGAGCUCGUAGGCGGCUUGUCGCGUCGUCUGUGAAAUCCCGCGGCUCAACUGCGGGCUGCAGUCGAUACGGGCAGGCUGGAGUUCGGUAGGGGAGACUGGAAUUCCUGGUGUAGCGGUGAAAUGCGCAGAUAUCAGGAGGAAUACCGGUGGCGAAGGCGGGUCUCUGGGCCGAUACUGACGCUGAGGAGCGAAAGCGUGGGGAGCGAACAGG